CAUAGCCCUUAGCUAUGAAGUCCAUAGCUAUCUGGCAAGCUUGGAGUAAAAGCCUAUAGCUUUUACUAUUCAAUUUAAUUUCUUUUUAUUCAGAGUAUGUAUUUCAAUUUAUCAUUAACUGCUGGAUGAAAAGACAGACAAGGAAUGCUUGAAUUUCUGGACUACCAAGAGAGAAUGAUAUCUUGAAGAAGUUGUUCAGAAAUUUGACUGGGAUUUAGUUGAAGAAUUCCUCCUAGCUCCAGGUACACUAUACAGAUUACUUCUCUAUGUCUGUGAACUGCUGUGAAGGCUUUCCUCCCUAGAACAAAAUUUGACUUGAGAUAUACCUUUCAGUGGAAAAAUAGGAGGGUACGAACUAUCUUUUCAGAUAUACUUUUGUCUGUGUCAUCAAUGCCUUUUUUUGAACUCACGACAUCAUCUCUUUCAUACUGGACUCCUUUUUGGGCAUCACAGCUAUGA